rnacentral:rRNA from 1 species
AACGAACGCUGGCGGCAUGCCUAACACAUGCAAGUCGAACGAGACCUUCGGGUCUAGUGCCGCACGGGUGCGUAACGCGUGGGAACCUGCCCUUAGGUUCGGAAUAACUCCCCGAAAGGGGUGCUAAUACCGGCUAAUGUCUUCGGACCAAAGAUUUAUCGCCUUUGGAUGGGCCCGCGUUGGAUUAGCUAGUUGGUAGGGUAAAAGCCUACCAAGGCGACGAUCCAUAGCUGGUCUGAGAGGAUGAUCAGCCACACUGGGACUGAGACACGGCCCAGACUCCUACGGGAGGCAGCAGUGGGGAAUAUUGGACAAUGGGCGAAAGCCUGAUCCAGCAAUGCCGCGUGAGUGAUGAAGGCCUUAGGGUUGUAAAGCUCUUUUACCCGGGAUGAUAAUGACAGUACCGGGAGAAUAAGCUCCGGCUAACUCCGUG